AUGCAGCAGCACGACCGGAAGAUCGCCAAGGACAAGCUCUGGAGCAGGGAGCGGCGGGCAGCUCAGCGGCCUACGCUCACUUGUAUGGGCCAUGGCAGGUUUUGCCUUGUCGACUGUGUGGUACGCCAGGGAAUGAAGUCUGGUUACCCUGAUGGCUGCAUGCUCAACAUCACCACAUUUCGCCUCCGAUACUCUCGCAAGGGAGAGCUGCGGAUCGCUGAUCACGCCACCAGGUCCUGUCAAAUGACCAAGAAUGUCCGCGCAUUUUCUCCUGUGGCGUUCUGGAUGUAA
rnacentral:rRNA from 1 species